rnacentral:rRNA from 1 species
AUCAGGUAGGACUACCCGCUGAACUUAAGCAUAUCAAUAAGGCGGAGG